rnacentral:rRNA from 1 species
GACGAACGCUGGCGGCGUGCUUAAUACAUGCAAGUCGAACGAUGAAGCUGGAGCUUGCUCCGGUGGAUUAGUGGCGAACGGGUGAGUAACACGUGAGUAACCUGCCCUUGACUCUGGGAUAACUGCGGGAAACUGUAGCUAAUACCGGAUACGACACCUUCGGGCAUCCGGUGGGUGUGGAAAGAAUUUCGGUCAAGGAUGGACUCGCGGCCUAUCAGCUUGUUGGUGAGGUAACGGCUCACAAAGGCGACGACGGGUAGCCGGCCUGAGAGGGUGACCGGCCACACUGGAACUGAGACACGGCCAAGACUCCUACGGGAGGCAGCAGUAGGGAAUAUUGCACAAUGGGCGCAAGCCUGAUGCAGCAACGCCGCGUGAGGGAUGAAGGCCUUCGGGUUGUAAACCUCUUUUAGUAGGGAAGAAGCGAAAGUGACGGUACCUACAGAAAAGCACCGGCUAACUACGUGCCAGCCGCCGCGGUAA